UCGCAUCCGACUAAAGACCAACUGCAGACGAGAAUUAGAGAGAGAACAUAGAAAGAGACCUGAGGGUGAAAGCGUUUUUAAGAGUCGACGAUAAAAAAGAGCUUAAAAAACCCACCAAGAAUUCCAGAGAAAGAAUUCAAGGAGCUAGAGAGAAUCUCACUUUAGACCCCUAAGGAACUCGAACUGAAGAA
rnacentral:ncRNA from 1 species